rnacentral:misc_RNA from 1 species
GAUCAUUACAGCGAAGCGGCGCGAGCCGCCUUUCGAACCACCGCGUACCGAACCCCCCACGUUGCCUCGGCGGGCGCCGGGCGCCCCGCGCCCGCCCCGCCGAACGGCCCCCCAGCAAGACCCCUUCCGUCGAGAUGGCGUCGUCUGAACCCUCCGGGGAAAACGUUUGAAACGAAAAACACAACUUUCAACAAUGGAUCUCUUGGCUCCGGCAUCGAUGAAGAACGCAGCGAAACGCGAUAGCUAGUGUGAAUUGCAGAUUUCAGUGAAUCAUCGAGUCUUUGAACGCACAUUGCGCCUCUUGGUAUUCCUCGAGGCAUGCCUGUUCGAGCGUCGUUACGCCCCUCAAGCGCGAGCUUGGUGUUGGGGACCGCCCCUGAGACACGGCGGCGGCCCCGGAAUGCAUCGGCGGUGCUGGUCCCAGCCCGGAGCGCAGCAGACAUGCGGCUCCGCGGGCGGGGCCGGCGCCCGCCGGACAAACGACGAGACCCCUCCACAAGUCGACCUCGAAUCAG